rnacentral:rRNA from 1 species
AGUUUGAUCCUGGCUCGAAUGAACGCUGGCGGCAGGCCUAACACAUGCAAGUCGAACGGAGUUAUAUUGUAGCUUGCUAUGGUAUAACUUAGUGGCAGACGGGUGAGUAAUGUAUAGGAAUCUACCUAGUAGUACGGAAUAAUUGUUGGAAACGGCAACUAAUACCGUAUACGCCCUACGGGGGAAAAAUUUAUUGCUAUUAGAUGAGCCUAUAUUAGAUUAGCUAGUUGGUGGAGUAAUAGCCUACCAAGGCAAUGAUCUAUAGCUGAUCUGAGAGGAUGAUCAGCCACACUGGAACUGAGAUACGGUCCAGACUCCUACGGGAGGCAGCAGUGGGGAAUAUUGGACAAUGGGCGAAAGCCUGAUCCAGCCAUGCCGCAUGAGUGAAGAAGGCCUUUGGGUUGUAAAGCUCUUUUAGUGAGGAAGAUAAUGACGGUACUCACAGAAGAAGUCCUGGCUAACUCCGUGCCAGCAGCCGCGGUAAUACGGAGAGGGCUAGCGUUAUUCGGAAUUAUUGGGCGUAAAGGGCGCGUAGGCGGAUUAGUAAGUUAAAAGUGAAAUCCCAAGGCUCAACCUUGGAAUUGCUUUUAAAACUGCUAAUCUAGAGAUUGAAAGAGGAUAGAGGAAUUCCUAGUGUAGAGGUGAAAUUCGUAAAUAUUAGGAGGAACACCAGUGGCGAAGGCGUCUAUCUGGUUCAAAUCUGACGCUGAGGCGCGAAGGCGUGGGGAGCAAACAGGAUUAGAUACCCUGGUAGUCCACGCUGUAAACGAUGAAUGUUAAAUAUGGGAAGUUUUACUUUCUGUAUUACAGCUAACGCGUUAAACAUUCCGCCUGGGGACUACGGUCGCAAGAUUAAAACUC